ACGCAUGGUAGGAGAGCGUUCCGUAAGCCUGCGAAGGUGCCUUGUAAAGGGUGCUGGAGGUAUCGGAAGUGCGAAUGCUGACAUGAGUAGCGAUAAAGGGGGUGAAAGGCCCCCUCGCCGUAAGCCCAAGGUUUCCUACGCAACGUUCAUCGGCGUAGGGUGAGUCGGCCCCUAAGGCGAGGCAGAAAUGCGUAGCUGAUGGGAAGCAGGUCAAUAUUCCUGCACCGUCGUUAGAUGCGAUGGGGGGACGGAUCGCGGAAGGUUGUCCGGGUGUUGGAAGUCCCGGUCGCUGCAUUGGAGAAGGCGCUUAGGCAAAUCCGGGCGCAGGAUUCAAGGGUGUGGCGCGAGCGACUUAGGUCGCGAAGCAAUUGGAAGUGGUUCCAAGAAAAGCCUCUAAGCUUCAGUCUAACGAUGACCGUACCGCAAACCGACACAGGUGGGCGAGAUGAGUAUUCUAAGGCGCUUGAGAGAACUCGGGAGAAGGAACUCGGCAAAUUGGUACCGUAACUUCGGGAUAAGGUACGCCCUUGUAGCUUGACUGGCCUGCGCCAGGAGGGUGAAGGGGUUGCAAUAAACUGGUGGCUGCGACUGUUUAAUAAAAACACAGCACUCUGCAAACACGAAAGUGGACGUAUAGGGUGUGACGCCUGCCCGGUGCCGGAAGAUUAAAUGAUGGGGUGCAAGCUCUUGAUUGAAGUCCCGGUAAACGGCGGCCGUAACUAUAACGGUCCUAAGGUAGCGAAAUUCCUUGUCGGGUAAGUUCCGACCUGCACGAAUGGCGUAACGAUGGCCACACUGUCUCCUCCCGAGACUCAGCGAAGUUGAAGUGUUUGUGAUGAUGCAAUCUACCCGCGGCUAGACGGAAAGACCCCAUGAACCUUUACUGUAGCUUUGCAUUGGACUUUGAACCGAUCUGUGUAGGAUAGGUGGGAGGCUAUGAAACCGGAACGCCAGUUUCGGUGGAGCCGUCCUUGAAAUACCACCCUGGUUUGUUUGAGGUUCUAACCUUGGCCCGUGAUCCGGGUCGGGGACAGUGCAUGGUAGGCAGUUUGACUGGGGCGGUCUCCUCCCAAAGCGUAACGGAGGAGUACGAAGGUACGCUAGGUACGGUCGGAAAUCGUGCUGAUAGUGCAAUGGCAUAAGCGUGCUUAACUGCGAGACCGACAAGUCGAGCAGGUGCGAAAGCAGGUCAUAGUGAUCCGGUGGUUCUGUAUGGAAGGGCCAUCGCUCAACGGAUAAAAGGUACUCUGGGGAUAACAGGCUGAUACCGCCCAAGAGUUCAUAUCGACGGCGGUGUUUGGCACCUCGAUGUCGGCUCAUCUCAUCCUGGGGCUGUAGCCGGUCCCAAGGGUAUGGCUGUUCGCCAUUUAAAGAGGUACGUGAGCUGGGUUUAAAACGUCGUGAGACAGUUUGGUCCCUAUCUGCCGUGGGCGUUGGAUAUUUGAAGGGGGCUGCUCCUAGUACGAGAGGACCGGAGUGGACGAACCUCUGGUGUACCGGUUGUGACGCCAGUCGCAUCGCCGGGUAGCUAUGUUCGGAAGAGAUAACCGCUGAAAGCAUCUAAGCGGGAAACUCGCCUUAAGAUGAGAUAUCCCUGGGGACUUGAUCCCCUUGAAGGGUCGUUCGAGACCAGGACGUUGAUAGGUCAGGUGUGUAAGCGCAGUAAUGCGUUCAGCUAACUGAUACUAAUUGCCCGUAAGGCUUGAUCCUAUAACA
rnacentral:rRNA from 1 species